rnacentral:rRNA from 1 species
UACGGAGGGUGCAAGCGUUAAUCGGAAUUACCGGGCGUAAAGCGUGCGCAGGCGGUUUGUUAAGUCCGCUGUGAAAUCCCCGAGCUCAACUUGGGAAUUGCAGUGGAUACUGGCAGGCUGGAGUACGGUAGAGGAAGGUGGAAUUCCCGGUGUAGCAGUGAAAUGCGUAGAGAUCGGGAGGAACACCAGUGGCGAAGGCGGCCUUCUGGACCAGUACUGACGCUCAUGCACGAAAGCGUGGGGAGCAAACAGG